rnacentral:tRNA from 1 species
AUGGGAGUAACUCAGUUGGCUAGAGUCAUCCCGCUUAAAGCGGGAUUAGUUGCGGGUUCGAGUCCCAUCUCCCGCU